AGGGAUGUGGCGCAGCUUGGUAGCGCGUUUGUUUUGGGUACAAAAUGUCACGGGUUCAAAUUCAAAUGAAAGAU
rnacentral:tRNA from 1 species